GGGUGGAUAGCGAAGUGGUCAAACGCUGCAGACUGUAAAUCUGCUCCCGCAAGGGUUCGGGGGUUCAAAUCCCUCUCCGCCCACCA
rnacentral:tRNA from 1 species